UUUUAAAAAAGAGAGUUGAAGCAGCUGGUCUCUAAAACCCACUUAGGUUCUAACGUGAUGACUCUGGACACAUCUAACUUACACGCUUUCUCUUGUAAUUCAGGCUAAGACUGCACAAGCUGUUUUUUGGCAGAUACAUCACAUUGCUGACCUAAUAUUAUGAGGAAAGAAGAGGCAAGCCACUACUUUCAAAGACUGUAAAUGUAGAGAUCAUCCAGGUCUAAUCAUGACUAGCAAGAGACUACAGGAGGAGUGAGGGGGGAAGAAAGCCAGAGUAUAAAGAUGGGAAAACCAAGGCUCAGAGAGGUAAAACAACUUGCCACAGAAUGCACAACCAGGAAGUGGAGGAGACAGGAUUCAAACUCCCCACGUGGCGCACACCAAAGCCCAUUCUCUGAUGGUCACGAUUUUAGAACUCAAGUGAAAAUCGAGAUGUUCUACCAAGAAAACCACCUCGAGCUUAUAAACUGCCUUUCUGUGUCUGCAGAGGAGGAGCCUGGGAGAAGAAAAAGGCAUCUCUUCCCCAGGACUGUGCAGCCUCAGGCUAGGGCCACUGCAAGGCAAGUAGGUCUCAGGCUGAAUUUAGCUCCAACUGGCUUCCUCAAUCAGGCACCUUUACCCAGUGCACCAACUGUGCAACAGUCCACAGCAUCCCUGAUUAGCUAUCAGAGUAAUUGCGAACUACGUAUCUUUUCCCUUCCUCUGUCGACUCAGAGAUGAGAGCAGUAUUGCUUUAGAUAGUCAUGAAGUAGAAGGAAAGUCAAAAAGUGAAAGAGGAUCCCAGAGCUGGAACCUCUGAAUAAUGGAGUUGACUCUUAAACUCUCAGCAUCAGCUGCUCCAUCUUACUUCUCUCAUUCUAAACCCACAGCCUCCGUUGAAAACCAAGAGUUUAUUUACAUAGGAUGGGUUCAACCACAAACUAUCUGAAUUAAUGUUGAAGGACCUGACUUGACUCUGCUCCAUGAGACCAGGGCCAGUAUUUAUUUUUUCUCACUAUUGUUUCCCCACCUUUUAACAUGGUGCUUGGUAAAUAAAAAAG
rnacentral:lncRNA from 1 species